rnacentral:lncRNA from 1 species
CACACACACAUGCACACACAUCUGACGAGACACAACUGCUAUAUCUCUCGCAUCAUUGAUAAGCAAAUAUAGGCAGCCAUCUAGCUUUGCAAGCCAAAAAUGGCUACUACCUCAAGAAUAACAACAAGAAGCAGCAGCAUCAACUUCAUGUUAGCUGAUAUGACUGAAUAUACAUCUUUGUGAUCUGAACCAAUGCCAAUACAAGAGGGGCCUAUAGGAGUAAAUCAGUGGAGUAAAUGGAAAAGACUCGUAGUAUAAUACUAACGUAUCGUGACGUCAAACAACCAUUUCUUGUGAUAUAAUAAUUUUAUGUUCAAAUCUACUUCAUUCCAAGUUAUACAUCUUCUCCCCUGCAAUUAAAAGGGUAAGUAUGUUUGUAGAAUGGAUGAAAUAUACUUGGCAAGGAUAAUAUGUCUCUAUUAGAAUCAGAAAGUUGGACACUGAACUUUAAGCAACUCACCUCAGAACAUCAACGUAAAGCAAUAUUAUUCACUAAUAGUUCUGCUAAGCAUUUAUCGUACAAGAAAACAUGCAAACAACAAACGGGCUGCAUCUUCUGUUUUGGUAUACAGCACAACUUGCCAUGCUGGAUAAGAAGGACUUGAGAGAGAGAGGGGGAACGAGAGAGUGGGGAGAGAAAGGGUUCUGCAGGGACGAAGCUCAAUGUGUGAGAUUGUGUGUGUGUCAACCCCAGCUGAGCAGACAUUUUGUUGACAUGCUGAUAGGGAUUUAAGCAGUGGGAGGGUGGGUGGCAGACCAAGGUGAGAGAAUGACGGGAGAAAGGGAGCUUUGCAUGGUGGGGGGGACGAGAGAGAGGGGCUGACAAACGUGCCGUUACUAAGCUUGAUUUCAGCGUGAGUUGAGACGAUUAGGGCCGGGGAGAGGAGGAAAGGAUAGGGGAGGAGAGGAGAGGAGGGGGUACGGUUCCUCCAGAGGAAAGGACAGGGGGACAGGUCUAUUGAUGAAGUGAUGGGUGAGAAGUGGCUCUCUUUCAGUCCGGCGAAUAAAGCAGAAGCCUGUGUGAAUAAUGGUAUCUACCACAGGGUGGCUAGGCGCUCGUGUCUUCAGUUCCCCGUCAACCACUUUCUCUGACAAACAUCUCAUGAGAUAAAGUCCCUCCUCUUAAAGGGAUAUAAUUGUUUAUACUGCUGCAGGGUAGUGAUACUGGACGCACGGUGCUGCACAACUUAUGCACCAUCAUGCAAUGAUAGGGUAUCUGAACAUUUCUAAUAAAUGCUAAUUAUUAUUUAACCCUUUCUGAGUGAUAUACUGCUUCAAAUGUAAUUUCUCAAAUUUCAAAGUGAUAUUAAAUGCAGAUUGUCUUAUCAACAUGGCAUAAUACAGUAAGUAUGUGAUCAUUAAGGAUCAUUACAAAAAAAUGGUCCCCAAAAUAGAUCCAGUCAACUGAAUGAAAAUAAUUUUCACAAUACCUCCUAUUUUCAGAUUCAAUUCUCAUAUGUUAACCGACAUCAGUGUGGGUCUGCUAAUGCAGUAAUACCGACUAAAACAGCCGCAUCCUAAUCUGUAGACAACCCUAGUUUGAUUGUGGACCAGCCACGUACACCGAGACGGCAAGCCAAAAGGGACAUGCUCUGUCUCUACCAGACUGGGGGAGGUGGAGGUCUGGGGGGAGGGGUCCCCGGGAGGCAAUAAGUAGCAGCUUAUGAAAAUAAGCAAACACAUUUGAUGCAGCACCCAAACAGGCCAGUCUGCACAGCGGACGACAUCCCUCCUCUGACCUUGACCCUUAUGGUCUUUCUUCACCUGCUCCUGAAUGGAAGUCAGUGCAGCUGGGCAGUCUAGCCAUUUGCCUGACUGGAUUACCAUCCCCAUUUUCACCCCGUUCCCACGCUUGGUUACCAUCCCCCUGUUUGGGGUUGCGCCGAGACUAAAUGGUCAAAUAUAAUAUUGAUGUGGCGCAUUGUGACUGGCCGUCAGCAGGCUGAGUGUCUUGGUGACCGCCAUCUCUGCUGCCUCCGAUGGUUUGGAGGUGGAGGGGCUCUAUAUGUUCAGCGAAAUCAUCAAACAGGUUCUUUCUAUUUACCCGCAAAAAAAUGUCUCCUUUCUUUCACACUAUUCUUCCCCUUGGCUUUACGUUCCACCCUCCCAUCACACCACCAUCGGUACGUUUUCAGAAGUACCAGUUGUUUCAGCCCAUUCUCUUUCUCCACAACGCACUCCUCUCAACUUCCUCCUUUCUUCCAACGAGUAUAGAGAGGAGAGUUUGUGGAUACUGUUUGUUGAGUUGAGCUUUGUGUGUUCUACGGAUGCUGGCUAGUGUUUCGAGGUAGCCCUUUCCUGCAGUGAAAUGACCUAGUGGCCUCAUGGGUGGAAUGUUCUUCAUAUUUUUCAUAAUUGAAUCAUUAAUAAACAUUGUUUCAAAAAACCUGCCAAAAAUCCAUUGUUUCUAUGUCAAAUGGUUUUGUUAUAUUUCAGUCUUCUGUAAUGUAUAGAAAGUGUAAUAUUGGGAUGAAAACUCAACAUUGAACACAUUUCAACUCUAUAUCUGACAUGGUACAGGUGUCUUCUGUCUUUUAAGCCCAUAACCAUGUGUGUGAGGUGUAUACUUUAGUUUCAAAGUAGAUUUGUUUAAGACUACCAAGAAACACUCUGUGUGACCCUGAUUUAGCCCACUGCAGUAAAAUGUUAAGCAAAGUGUUGGGCUGUAAGGUAUCUGUGCUGAUCUGUGUGUGUUAAGCUGUGGUGUGUGUAUGUUUGGUACUGAUCUGUGUGUGUUAAGCUGUGGUGUGUGUAUGUUUGGUGCUGAUCAGUGUGUGUCUGUAUGUUUGGUGCUGAUCAGUGUGUGUUAAGCUGUGGUGUGUGUAUGUUUGGUGCUGAUCAGUGUGUGUUAAGCUGUGGUGUGUGUAUGUUUGGUGCUGAUCAGUGUGUGUGUGUAUGUUUGGUGCUGAUCAGUGUGUGUGUGUGUGUGUGUGUGUGUGUGUGUGUGUGUGUGUGUGUGUGUGUGUGUGUGUGUGUGUGUGUGCGUGCGUGCGUGCGUGCGUGCGUGCGUGCGUGCGUGCGUGCGUGCGUGCGUGCGUGUGUGUGUGUGUGUGUGUGUGUGUGUGUAUGUUUGGUGCUGAUCAGUGUGUGUUAAACUGUGGUGUGUGUAUGUUUGGUGCUGAUCAGUGUGUGUUAAAUUGUGGUGUGUGUAUGUUUGGUGCUGAUCAGUGUGUGUUAAACUGUGUGUGUGUGUAUGUUUGGUGCUGAUCAGUGUGUGUUAAAUUGUGGUGUGUGUAUGUUUGGUGCUGAUCAGUGUGUGUUGUGUUGCGGGGUUCAGAGCACCGCCUCAGCCCCUCACAUUUUCAUUAUGGUCCAAAUCACAGGCCUGUACUUGAGCUUGGCCUCUGCCAGCCAAGCCACCAGUUUAAUCACACAUAGAGCACUCCAUUUUAAUUUCCCUUUCAUAACCCCCCCACCCCCCAUUCCACUCCCUACUGCUUCAUAAUUCUGCCCUCAGAGCUGUCUGUGUGGCUGAGUGUUUGGGCCCUUUGAAAUGACAUAAUCAGUGACUUGGAUAAAUGCCUGCCUGUUUUCCCUCUGCUGCCUGUAAUCAGAAGCCAGCCAGCUCUCCGUACUGGAGCGUUGAAGCAGUGCUGUGUUACUAAAGCAACUCAUGGAAGUUGUUCACUAGUUUCUCUGAUGCCUGAGGAGUGAUGUCUACAAUGAUACUGAUUAAGAGACUGUUCUCACGGAAGUGCUCCUAGUCCUUCACUAAUGGCUGAGGACUGGUCUCUACAUAUACAAAUGCAGGCCAUUUUGUUUGAGGUUAAUAAAUGUGCCAGCUCAAUGAUACGAUAGCUCCCUCAAGUACAUGAUCACAAAACACUCCAAAAUAUCAGAUUAUUAUCAUGAGGAUACAGGCUUAGAAUAAACAUACACCGGAACUAGAUUUGGCAAUUAUAUAGUAAUAAAAAUUAACAUAUUCAGUAGGUCUCAAAAGGGAAGUAAAUCCUACAUUUCAUAGCAGCUUCUUAAUAAUAUAAUAAUAAUGAUAAUAAAAUAAAUGAAAAUAACCUUGAUAACCUACAAGUAACAACCUAUUGAAUGUAUGCUUUUAUUUCUGCUUUUAUAAAAUAAAUAAAAACCUAUCGCAAAUCAGCACAUAUGUGUCUUUCCAAAUGCCUGGGAUGAAAGCAUGAAAAAAAAAACAUCCUGUUUAUCGCAUUUUGUCAUUGAUGUUUGAAAAGAACUAAACACAGAAUGUAUGCAAAUGAAUUAUUUUUCAUUUGAAUUAGAAAGUAGGGCAAUGUAAAAAAAAUUUUUUCAAAAAUGCUAAGCAGGUCUAGGAGAAUUGAACAACGGCUAUAAAUGCUUUCAGCAACUAUUACUUCUGUGGGUGGAACACAUUCAAUCAAUAUCUAACCAUAUAAAAGCAGCGGGUACUCACAGUGAGGGAAGCUUCAUGAGACGAGGCUGCAUUGACACAAAUGAAGCAUGUGCCCACUAACACCACCACCACCAGCCCUACCAGUGAAGUGGUGUACAGUUCAUAUCCUACACAAUAACUAAAACUAGGAAUCUAUAAACAGCCAUACAAGAAGCAUAGAAAGAGAAUGACUCUUGUUCUGUGGCUAGAACGGUUUGUCCUAUAGAUAUUGUAUAUGUUUUAUGUUUGAAGUGACAGUAUGCUUUAAAUCAUCCAAAUGUCUUCAUACUUCUUCUGCCUGAUAUGCUGAUUUAAAUUAAUACAUCCAAUCACCGCUAUUUCGAGCUAUUAAAAAAGAAAUCAAAUGUAUGGGUAGACAAUUCUGUAUUUAAUGUAUGCUUAUUCUGGGAAUUAACAGCACCAAGAUACAAAACUAGUGUUAUUCCACCUCACUCAAUUCAUACCUUGAUUAAAUAAAACAUCUACAGCUUGGUUUGAAUUACCAUGUCAUGUCUUGGGCAUGGAAGAGGACAAAGCCAAAUAAGAAGUGAAAGAGAGAGAGAGUGUGUGUGUGUGUGUGUGUGUGUGUGUGUGUGUGUGUGUGUGUGUGUGUAGGGGGUCUAUGCCUUGGGGUUUGGUGGGCUUGCGUGUAUGUCUGAAUGUCAUUUUUGUCUGGCGCUGCUGAAAACAUAUGGGCUCCCCAGCUGUUCUCAAUAUGCAAAUGAGGGACCAGCACACACCCACUGACCCAGACAGACUAUUCUCUCUCUUCCUCCCCUCUUUAAGGACCUACUGUCCCCCCAUCCUGACACCACCCACCCCAAACAAAUC